GGUUUCAUUCAAUCUGCAUCACUUACAUCCUUAUUCACUCCAUUAAUUUACGACCUUCACUGACUCGCAAUGAAACCUGACGUUCUAAAAGGUUGAGAAACUUAACCUAUAAAUAAGGAGAGAGAUCGAAACGACUCCAUAACUUCAGAUUACCUUAUCUUCGAUGGGGUCAGUAUAUUCCUCAGGGAUGUCAAGCUACCGUCUUCCGAUGGGCCGCUCAGGGAUCUCCGGCAGGUGCUGGAGGAGAAAAAUCUGAUGGUCUUGGAAUGUCAAGCUACGGCUCGACGCCUCAUGGCUACCAGUAAGCUUGACAGGAACUCUGUCUGCCUUACUGUUUUUGAAGGUUUUGAUGCUUCUCAGGAUAAAAAAUUGCUAACCUCUGGUGUUGAACCAAAGCCUAAAGGUAGUAGUUGCAACCAAUAUUAACCCAAAGUUAGUUGGAGCUCUCAGGAAGUAGAGUUCCUUUGCACAGCUGUUGUCAAUGGUAUUGAGACGGGAAAUGGGUGGAGCUAUAUUUCAUGCUGGAAGUGCUACCGAAAGCUCCAACGUGGAUUCUCAGCUUUCACAUGCUCUGCAUAUCAAGCUGACAAUGCAGUGGUUGUUGUAAGGUACCGUGUGCAAAUGAAUGUGUUGGAUGCGUAUAACUGCUAAGAUAAUAGCUUUUGACAGUGAAAUGACCAAGCUUACAAAUUUCAGGGCAGCAGACAUAUCUCAGCUAAUGGGCGAGGGCGAGGGCGACCAAGACAUCCAAGAAUUAGCACUUCCCCAAUACCUCAAAGACAUUGUUGGAAGCACAUUAACCUUCCAUCUCGCGCUCCCACCCAAUUCAACUUCCCAUGAAAACAUCAGAGCUUAGCUGAUGCAACCAGCUCCCAUCUUUGAAUGCGACCAGCUCCCUCCUCUACCUAAUUUUGACGCAAACGUGAGUAGGAAUGUUGAUGAUAGGUUUAGCUGCUCUGCAAAGUAUUCUUGACUGAGUUUUCACUUUCACAAGGAGGACAUGACAACCCUGGAGAUGAUAUGCCCGGUGCUGGAGCAAAACACAUGCUCCUGUGGGCACUCUGAUCCUCACCUGAACGGCUGAAUGAACACUAACAACUUCACAGCUAAUGUGAAUGUUGAUGGCCAAGCUGUCUCUGAUAAUGUAAUGUAUCAGGAUCCUGCAACUGACUGUGACACUGGAGAAAAGAAGUUAGCUGAAGAGGAAGCACCUAGCGCUAAGCAGAGCUGGGCUGAGUUAAAUUUCUCUGAUUGUCGCAGCUAUUUUGGGAAUAAGCCAUCUUUUUAUAAUUUCUGUGGCUUCGAUAAUUUCUAUAACCGUGAAGUUCGUGAAUCCUAUUAGAAUUUGUUUCAAGUCUUUUUCCCUUUAAAUAAUUCCAUAAACUCUUUAGUUGA